GCACAACGCGAAGAACCUUACCCACCUUUGACAUGUACGGAAUCCUUUAGAGAUAGAGGAGUGCUCGAAAGAGAGCCGUAACACAGGUGCUGCAUGGCUGUCGUCAGCUCGUGUCGUGAGAUGUUGGGUUAAGUCCCGCAACGAGCGCAACCCUUGCCAUUAGUUGCUACAUUUAGUUGAGCACUCUAAUGGGACUGCCGGUGACAAACCGGAGGAAGGUGGGGAUGACGUCAAGUCCUCAUGGCCCUUAUAGGUGGGGCUACACACGCCAUACAAUGGCUGGUACAAAGGGUUGCCAACCCGCGAGGGGGAGCUAAUCCCAUAAAGCCAGUCGUAGUCCGGAUCGCAGUCUGCAACUCGACUGCGUGAAGUCGGAAUCGCUAGUAAUCGUGGAUCAGAAUGUCACGGUGAAUACGUUCCCGGGUCUUGUACACACCG
rnacentral:rRNA from 1 species